rnacentral:rRNA from 1 species
GACGAACGCUGGCGGCGUGCUUAACACAUGCAAGUCGAGCGGAAAGGCCACUUCGGUGGUACUCGAGCGGCGAACGGGUGAGUAACACGUGAGUAAUCUGCCCCUGGCUUUGGGAUAGCCACCGGAAACGGUGAUUAAUACCGGAUACGACCACUUCUCGCAUGGGAUGGUGGUGGAAAGUUUUUUCGGCCAGGGAUGUGCUCGCGGCCUUUCAGCUUGAUGGUGAGGUAAUGGCUCACCAUGGCUUCGACGGGUAGCCGGCCUGAGAGGGUGACCGGUCACACUGGGUCUGAGACACGGCCCAGACUCCUACGGGAGGCAGCAGUGGGGAAUAUUGGACAAUGGGCGGAAGCCUGAUUCAGCAACGCCGCGUGAGGGAUGACGGCCUUCGGGUUGUAAACCUCUUUCAGCAGGGACGAAGCGCAAGUGACGGUACCUGCAGAAGAAGCACCGGCCAACUACGUGCCAGCCGCCGCAGUAA